UGUGCGACACAACGAAUCGAUGACGUAAUUCGUUGCCAACGCUUUUAGUAAUCGAUUUUCAUCGAAUUUAUCGAUUCGUUGUUGCAGCCCUACUUUACACACUCUCGUAUUUAGCAACAAAACACCACUGGUGUGAGAGAUUCUCCGCUCAACAAUAUCAGAGAAGGACAAACAGACGGAUGCUACCACUUCAGCUUUCGGACAAAACGAAAAACACUGAAGUCGCGGACAACAAAUGACAGCUGGACGUAGAAAAUGGUGACUGGUGUUUAGCGCACUCUCGUUUCCAUCGGCAUUGCUGGUCUCCAGUUUCGGCAGAAGCUUCUCAGGGAAGAUACUCGAGGGGAAGGUUGAGUAUCUGGAUGCACGUUUUCCAAAAUUUCUUUAACCGGUUAUUAACGCCUCUUAACAGUUAACCGGAAACCAACCAACCUCUUACGCCCUCUAGUGGCACAAAUAGCGAUGCACCGAUAUGAAAUUUUUGGGCCAAUACCGAUAUCUGAUGUUAAUAUCACUAUUAUGGCCGAUAACCGAUAUUUGCCGAUGCCGGUAUACUGACAUUAAUGCUUCUAAAAUCAGCAGGUUUGAUAUAGAAAUAAAAUGAUUAAAGCUGAAUUUACGUUAUUAAAGAGCAAGUAACGUCUAAAUUAACUUUUUUUUUGCUGGUGAACUGUAUAAAUGAGUGUCUAAUAGUGUUUUAAAUGAGUGUAUUCAUUAUUUUAGCAUUUUGGUGCAUUUUCUUUAAAAAUUAAAAAUUCUGCAUAAAUACCACAGUAUAGCGCCACCUUCAGCUUAAAACAUAGAAUUUGAGUCAUUUUGAAUAAAUUUUAGCCAAUGGCUAAAGAGUAAGAUACUACAUAAAUCAGUAGAGUACUACGUAGCAGCUCUGUGUCAAAGUUAUAAAAGCAUCGAGAGUCUCGGCUACGUCUUGUGGCGAGUUGGGAGUUGGAUUUGCAAGCCAGUGUAGGACGGUCAGCGGUAGUUCAGCAUUAGCAUAUCCUAGUCUUUAGCAUAGCUUUUAGUGUUAUACACACUUAUAGUGUUAGCUUGGCUGGUGGAUAUUGUAGUUUAGUUAGUGUUUGGCUGUUAGUGUUAUUAGGAAAGUAAUUCGGUUUUAGUGCUCCAUAUCGUGUUAGUAUGGUGAGAAGGUGUAGUGUAGUGGGUUCGGUAGCUCUGUGGGGUUGCACUCCUUUCCGCUGGACUUAGAAAUUAGGCGCCAGUGGUUGCGCGCUACCGGUGUCUGGAAAAGUCAGCUCCCGCCUGGUGCUGUAGUUUGCAACCAGCAUUUUACCCGCGAUUCCUUAGCCAACAUGAUGGAGUUUGAACUGGGUUGUUCUGCACGUCUCCAUUUGAAGAGGGAGGCCGUGCCCACCGUGGCUCUUCCACGAUUUAGAUGCAGCCCACCGACUCUGCUCCCGCACCAUGGCGGGCUCCAGUCUGAGGUGAGUAAGCUAAAUAAAAGGUUUAACAUCUUCUAAAGACAAUUCCCUACCUAAAUGCAAAGUUUCAGAGAUGUGGUUCACUUCCUUUAGCUAAUAUCAGCCUGCACUGCCUUCAGGCUGAUUUGUCAAGUUCACAAAAUGUGGAACGGGAUGUAAGGUUGGAAUCAGCGGCGAAUCGGAACAUAUCUCGAAGCCCUGGCCGACAAAAUGGUCCACAUGACUAUUACUGUCAGGCUCGGAGAAAAUUCGGGUUGUUUUUGUGUCAGUCGAUAAUUCUGCUAACAGUGACUCUAACUAACGCAGCACUGGCUGACAGACAGCAUUACAGCGUGAAAUCCAGCUUGUGACCCGGUUCUGUAAGGAAUUCUGUUCAGGAGGUCGCAUUUCAGGCUCUCCACAUCAUAUGUGACUGACUUUUACGUUAUAAUAACGAUCACACACUAGGAAUGUUAUAAAGCGCCUAUAUAGGACAGUUUCUUUUGUAUAUUAUCUGACUUUAUAAACUCCAACAACAAUGUGCUUCUAUUUUUUUUUCAGGCUAAAUCUACCCAAGACACUGGUUGUUAGACUGAUUUAGUAGUCUGCAAGAAUGCACUUGUCCAGGCUGACGUGAAGCCUUACCCGUAGCAAAGCCAGCCAGAAUGGAGUUCACAGCCGCAGUGUGUCUUGUGACACAGAGACCAUGACGGAAAUUCAUCUUCCAGAAAGUCCCAGAGCAGCGUCCACACCCCUGAAAAGACCAAGAUGUGAGGUGUCUGCUGUUGAUUCCAGCUUCCACCUCAGUGACAGUGCAAGCUCAGUGAACUGUUCAAGGAGGCUACUGAUUCUGGCCCUGUGACACUUGUUGGUGACGUGUGAGCUGAUUCACCUGGACACUCAGCAAAAUAUGGACUCUACACCAUGAGGCAGGCACAUGUUAAUACUGUAUAAGAGCACAUAAGGUGAGCAACACCACAUAUUAUUAUUGUUAUUACUGUACACCGUCCUGGAUUUGUUUUCUUUCUGCAUCUCAUCAUUAGCCUGGCUGAUCACCUGAUAACUCCUGUCAUCUGGUUAUGACAGCAUGAGGAUGUCCUCACACACUUGUAACCUAUCAGCUCAUCUGGCAGAAUAGAGAGAGAAGAGACAACACCACAUCUCCUGUUCCUGGAAAGCCUUCAGCCAUCCUUCGAUGACUGAGAACCUCCAUCAGCUCUGUCUCCUGUCUGCCUACAAUUAUUAUAAUAAAUUUUGUGUUUGACAAGAUUUUGUGCUGUCAAAUAUCUCAUUUUGAUUCCAGUUUUUAUAUUUUAAUGGAUAUUUAUAAAUUACAUUAAUUGAAUUAUCACAUUGUUGCAUGUUUAACUAGCUCUAUUGUGAUGAAUUAAACUAGCACCUCACUGUUAAAAGCUCUUUUUAAUUUCAAGCAUGUUUAAGUAUUUAUGGACAUGAACAAAUACAGGAAAUACAUAAAUUGAGAUUUAUUUAAUUAAUAUAACAAAUAAGGGGGAAAGAGUCAUUGAAAGGCACAUUCUUCUGGAAGCUCCUGAUCCUGACGACACCAGCAGGAGACCACCUGCAGACACCAGAGGAUCACCUACAACCAAGAAAGCAGCUAGUAUCAGUAAAUAAAUAAUGAAAUCAGGGCAGUUUUAGUGGGCUGAACACAUUACAGAAUAAUUUUCUCAUGGGGUAGUUUCAUAACUUUCUAUGCAGCAGACUGUAACUUGAGCCCAGGGCUCCUGGAGAGCUGCUAUCAAGCACGUUUCAGUAGUUUUCCUGCUUUAACAGGUUAGAUUAGCUGUUAAGCAGCUCAGCUAUUUGUUGCUGAUUAAAACCAGGUGUGUUGAAGCAGAUAAACCUCUAAAACAUGCUGAAUACUAGCUCUCUAGGGCCGUGGAGCCAAACCCUGCAGCUAAUCCAAUGCUAUGGCUAAUGGCUACUUACCAUUCAGAGCUGGUUCUGUUGGGUCGGUUCCGGUAGUUUCAGGCUACUCACAAGCUCAAAACAAUAAGGCUCAGGUCCGCUUAUCUCCUCCAAAUAGACUUGGUCCCUUUCUUCUCGAGUGUCUGUGUAAGGAGGGGGAGAAACAUCCUCCACUUCUAAUGACUGCUCAGAGUGAAGGGAGCUAGCAUCGUCUCAUUACCCAUCGUCUUCGUCACUGCCGUGGCUCCGCCCCCUCGGUCCUCCAGGCAACGCCUACUAAUGUUGCAGUUUUUAAAAUUGAUACGUGGGUGGAGAAGGACUCUGAGGCACACUUGACCCGCUCUUUAAGUACACAUACCACACACAUUUACACUUCUGAGAUGAUUACAAUCACUGUCGCAUGACUAAACAAAUACACAUCACCCCCGUCACCCUCUGAAACAUAAACAAAUGGAAACGAGAUGGAACAAAUAUCGGCCCAGUUUUAUUUAUUGGACAGAUACCGAUAUUGACGCCAAUAUAUCGUACAUCCCUAUGCACAAAAUAUAUCACACCCCAGCACAGUAGAAGGACUAGAAGCAGUUAACCUGAAAAAACUGUUUAACCUGGUCACAGCAUUAACGACAAUUAACUGGUUAACUGGUAAUCUGUGUAAAUCCUUAGUGUACUGUGAUUGUGUUUCUGUUCAAAACCUAGCUUGUUUUGUAGAUUCGCUAUAACAGCUUUAAUCGAAAACUGACAGAAGUUCCACGUACACAACAUUUAAAACUGGUUUGAGUUUUUAAACCUUUAUUUGAAACAAAAAGUUUUGCAUCAGCUGCAAACAGUAUUAACAAGAUGUUGGAUAGUGGCAGCUACACUGUAGCUUGGAAAUGUUAAUGUACCUAAUAUUAUUCUUUGAAGAACACCAUAUUAUUGUCUGAUGACCAUAAAAACAUAGAAUUUUCUAUAAAAGAUUUCUGCUAACUUUCUCCUGAAAAUCAGGCCAUGUAAUAUUUGUAUAAUGAUGAAAACUAAACAAGAGGACUGCUUUAAAUCCUUUUAAAAGAAACAAAAUAAUCACAUUGCAAUAAGUGAGCUUCAGCAGUGUCAAAGAGGAGAAUUUUUACUAAAUCUGUACUGAUAAAAUCAUAAAUACACACUAGCCUUACCAAAACCUGGAAAGUUAUAUUGGGCUGCAUGGUGGAGCAGUGGUUAGCACUGUUGCCUCACAGCACAAAGGUUGCAGGUUUGAAACUCGGCUGCGGCCUUUCUGUGUGGAGUUGCAUGUUCUCCCCAUGCAUGCGUGGGUUUCCUCCGGGUACUCCGGUUUCCCCCACAGUAGGGCUGGGCGAUAUGGCAAAAAUAGAAUAUCACGAUUUUUCCAAUAUUUUAUCACGAUUUCGAUUUUAUCACGAUUUUUUAUCCAUGAAUAGCAUAACUUCAAUUGCGUAUUAAAGAAGAGAAACAUUGAAUAAAUAAACAUUUAUUCAUAUUAGGGAUAAUCAGCACAGUGCUAACACACUUAUAUUUUAAACUCACACCAGAGAUGAUAAAAGCCCUGAGAGAAACAAUUACAAAAAUCAGUUUUUCUCGUUUUUCACGUAACUUAACAUAAAUUAAAAUCGUAAACAUAUUUAAAGUGCAAACAUGUCAAUUGCAAACGUAUUGUGCAAACAUUAACUUGUUCAAAAUACUAUGUAGCUCCCAGUUGCUCAUGUAGUGGAUAGUUAAGCUCAAAUACGUCUCUGAUGUGCGGCUGGACCAGAGAUCGCUUGUGGUAGCAAAAAACUGCGCAUUCUGAAUAUUUUCUGCAACAAGUCUCUAAAUAAAGUAAAAAUUUCCAGUGCAGAGUGGAGACAACCCAUAGAAGCACUGAUUUGAUCUCAUUUCAGAGAAAAAUAGAACAGGUCAGAUGCACCUAAUAAAUAAAAUUACUAACAUAAACUCAGGAAUGUGUUUCUUUGCUUCACUGUUCUGGUGCUGAAAAUAUCACUAAUGCGGAUCAAAGGAGAUACACAGAUGAAUGCACCUCUUAUUAUUUGGAAACUACAUUUACUGCAGCUGGCAGAGGUUGUUUCUAUUGAUACACGGAGUUUACAGAAUCAUUUUAAAUGUUAAUAGGGGAAGACUGCAGGAGGGAGCGGUAAAAUACAGCAAAAACAAGAAACUAAGAGUCUGAUGAAACCCGCUGGUUUUCCAUCAGGCAGUCACGGGGCAGCUCCAACGACCCAGUGACCGAGCUCAGUCCGGUACCGACACCGGCUCGGCAGAGGGUGAACGAGCCGAGGCGACGUCGUGCUCUGCUUAAGAAGAAGAGUUAUUUUCCUGCUUCAGAAGAAGCGUCCAACGUGUUUUUACGCUUUCUCCGAGACAUGUCACGUCGCUAAGUUGUUAGCACUGCGCGCUAAGGAAACCCUGCGUUCCUCUUCGGAACGAAAACCUCGUUGUCGCUCAGCCGCGGCGAAGCCAUGUUUGUUCACACACAGGUGAAAACAAGCGGGGCACUAAUAUAUUACUAUGACUCAUUCUGAUUGGUUAAGGGUCAAACAAAGGCGCGUCAUUCGCCUGGGGUAAGCUCCAUUUUCAUUCAGAGGCAGAAAUUCAACAGCAGAGCUGUGAAUCGUGAUAAAGCGGUCUCUCAAAAAUGACAGACCGUCAGAUGUGUAGAUCGUAAAACGGUCUAAAAUCGUCAUAUCGCCCAGCCCUACCCCACAGAUCACAACAUGCCCUAUGGGUUAUAAAUUGUAAGUCGCUUUGGAUAAAAGUGUCUGCUAAAUAAAUAAACAAACAUGGAAAUACGUUAAUCACUCAUAAAUUGAAUUGAACCGCCUGAUUUGAAAUAACUGAAUAAGCUUUACGAUUUUCAGGUUGGAAGGUGUAACACCAGUCCCUACAAAUGAUUAAAAACACGAUCGUUAGCAAAGCUCAGAAUUUAAUACAUUCGGUUAUUUUUUGGGUUGUUUGCAGACAGACCAAGGAGUAAAUUCUAUCUGUUCCCUUUAUAUUAUUGUAAAAACAAUUUUUGUUUAUUUUUGCAUAACUUAUAA